rnacentral:rRNA from 1 species
AUUGAACGCUGGCGGCAGGCCUAACACAUGCAAGUCGAGCGAGCGGCGGCCGGGGGAGUAAUGUCUGGGAAACUGCCUGAUGGCGGGGGAUAACUACUGGAAAAGGUAGCUAAUACCGCAUACCAUCGGAUGUGCCCAGAUGGGAUUAGCUGGUAGGUGGGAUAAAGGCUCACCUAGGCGACGCUCCCUAGAUGGUCUGAGAGGUUGACCAGCCAACGGGGAACUGAGAAACGGUCCAGACUCCCACGGGAGGCAGCAGUGGGGAAUAUUGCACAAUGGGCGCAAGCCUGAUGCAGCCAUGCCGCGUGUAUGAAGAAGGCCUUCGGGUUGUAAAGUACUUUCAGCGGGGAGGCGUUACCCGCAGAAGAAGCACCGGCUAACUCCGUGCCAGCAGCCGCGGUAAUAC